CCUCCAGCCCAGACUUAGCCAAUUUUCAGCUUCGUCCGUUUUCGCUCCGUUUUCGCCCGUUUUUGUUCGUUUGACCUCCGAUUCGUCUCAAAUCGAACCGAGACUCUCCAAACAUGUUUUCAAACAUGUUUUCAUCAUCUUUCCAUCCUCGCUAAUGCCGAAUUUAGCUCACGGCCCAACAUAGCCUUUCGGGUUCCAUUUCCGCGCCUACGCGCACCGAAACACCCGAUAGCUCCCGAACUUCACCGAACUUCACCGGAACCAUUCAAAUAGCUCCCCAAUCGAAUAUACACGUAACUUAAUAGUUUU
rnacentral:lncRNA from 1 species